GAAGUACCGUGAGGGAAAGGCGAAAAGAACCCCAGCGAGGGGAGUGAAAAAGAACCUGAAACCGUAAACCCACAACAGGUCAGAGCCCGGUUUAGAGCCGGGUGAUGGCGUGCCUUUUGUAGAAUGAGCCUGCGAGUUACGAUGUAUAGCAAGGUUAAGGCUUGGAAGAGCCGGAGCCGAAGGGAAACCGAGUCUGAAUAGGGCGUUUAGUUGUAUGUCGUAGACCCGAAGCCAAGUGAUCUUGUUAUGUGCAGGUUGAAGGCAGGGUAAAACCUGUUGGAGGACCGAACACAAAUCUGUUUAAAAAGGUUGUGAUGACAUGUGACAAGGAGCGAAAGACUAAACAAACUUGGAAAUAGCUGGUUCUCCCCGAAAUGCCUUGAGGGACAGCCUUAUCAAAAUCUUACGCAGGUAGAGCACUGGAUGGACUAGGGGGCUUCACCGCCUACCAAACCCAAUCAAACUCCGAAUGGCGUAAGACAACUGAUAGGAGUGAGACUGCGGGCGACAAGGUUCGUAGUCGAGAGGGAAACAGCCCAGACCGUCGGCUAAGGUCCCAAAUAGUAUGCUAAGUGUUAAAUGAUGUGCCGUGGCGCAGACAGCCAGGAUGUUGGCUUAGAAGCAGCCACUCAUUUAAAGAGUGCGUAAUAGCUCACUGGUCGAGUCACGACGCGCAGACAAUGUAACGGGGCUUAAGCAUACAACCGAAGCCGCGGGAUCAUGCAGCAAUGCAUGGUCGGUAGGGGAGCAUUCCACGAACCGAAGAAGGUAACUUGGGAAAGUUGCUGGAGGGGGUGGAAGAGAGAAUGCAGGUAUAAGUACACGAAAAGACGGGUGAGAUUCCCGUCCGCCGAAAGCCUAAGGAUUCCUGGGUAAAGGUCAUCUGCCCAGGGUAAGUCGGCCCCUAAGACGAGGGCGAAAGCCGUAGUCGAUGGGAAACUGGUUCAGAUUCCAGUACCAUUCAUGGUUUUAUGGGAUGACGCGUGAGGUGAAACCCGGCCGGGCGACGGUUGCCCCGGUCGAAGCAGUAAGUUAUUGGGGGCGGAGAAAACGCCUUUAGACAAGCUGCGACAGCGAGCUGUAUUACGGUACAGCGAAGCGGGUGUAAUCAAGGCGCCAAGAAAUAAUCCCCACUAGACAGGCCAUGAAGACCGUACCGCAAACCGACACAGGUAGGCGGGAUGAGAAAUCUAAGGCGCUCGAGAGAACUCGCGUUAAGGAACUCGGCAAAAUACGCACGUAACUUCGGGAGAAGUGCGACCACCGGCAGUUUUAGCAAUAGAGUUGUUGGUGGUGUCACAAAGCAGUCCCAGGCGACUGUUUAUCAAAAACACAGGCCUCUGCGAACCAGCAAUGGGAAGUAUAGGGGCUGACACCUGCCCGGUGCCGGAAGGUUAAGAGGAGCGGUUAGUCGCAAGAUGAAGCUGUGAAUCGAAGCCCCGGUAAACGGCGGCCGUAACUAUAACGGUCCUAAGGUAGCGAAAUUCCUUGUCGGGUAAGUUCCGACCCGCACGAAAGGUGUAACGAUCUGGGAGCUGUCUCAACGCGAGACUCGGUGAAAUUUAAGUACCGGUAAAGAUGCCGGUUACCCGUGGUUAGACGGAAAGACCCCGUG
rnacentral:rRNA from 1 species